CACAUUGUCUCAGAAUAGCUGAAC
rnacentral:piRNA from 1 species